UGGGGAAUAUUGCACAAUGGGCGCAAGCCUGAUGCAGCCAUGCCGCGUGUAUGAAGAAGGCCUUCGGGUUGUAAAGUACUUUCAGCGAGGAGGAAGGUGUUGUGGUUAAUAACCGCAGCAAUUGACGUUACUCGCAGAAGAAGCACCGGCUAACUCCGUGCCAGCAGCCGCGGUAAUACGAGGGUGCGAAGCAGUUAAUUCGGAAUUAGUCUGGGCGUAAAGCGCACGCAGGCGGUCUGUCAAGUCGGAUGUGAAAUCCCCGGGCUCAACCUGGGAACUGCAUCCGAAACUGGCAGGCUAGAGUCUUGUAGAGGGGGUAGAAUUCCAGGUGUAGCGGUGAAAUUGCGUAGAGAUCUGGAGGAAUACCGGUGGCGAAGGCGGCCCCCUGGACAAAGACUGACGCUCAGGUGCGAAAGCGUGGGAGCAAACA
rnacentral:rRNA from 1 species